CACGUAAGUUGCGAGCGUUGUUCGGAAUUAUUGGGCGUAAAGGGCAUGUAGGCGGCUGAGCAAGCUUGGCGUGAAAUCCUCGGGCUUAACCCGAGAACUGCGCUGAGAACUGUUCGGCUUGAGUUACUGAAGGGCAUCCGGAAUUCCAGGUGUAGGGGUGAAAUCUGUAGAUAUCUGGAAGAACACCGAUGGCGAAGGCAGGGUGCCGGCAGAUAACUGACGCUGAGGUGCGAAGGUGCGGGGAGCGAAC
rnacentral:rRNA from 1 species